rnacentral:rRNA from 1 species
UACGGAGGGUGCGAGCGUUGUCCGGAAUCACUGGGCGUAAAGGGCGCGUAGGCGGCAUGCCAAGCGUGUGGUGAAAGCCCGGGGCUCAACCCCGGGUCGGCCGUGCGGACUGGCGUGCUCGAGCACUGUAGGGGCGGGUGGAAUUCCGGGUGUAGCGGUGGAAUGCGUAGAGAGUCCGGAAGAACACCGGUGGCGAAGGCGGCCCGCUGGGCAGGAAGGCUCGCAAGAGCCGGCUGACGCUGAGGCGCGACAGCGUGG